rnacentral:tRNA from 1 species
GGCAGCGUAGCUCAGUCGGUCAGAGCAGUGGAAUCAUAAUCCACGUGUCGGGGGUUCGAUUCCCUCCGCUGCUA